AGUGAACGCUGGCGGUAGGCCUAACACAUGCAAGUCGAACGGCAGCACAGUAGAGCUUGCUCUUACGGGUGGCGAGUGGCGGACGGGGGAGGAAUACAUCGGAAUCUACUUUUUCGUGGGGGAUAACGUAGGGAAACUUACGCUAAUACCGCAUACGACCUACGGGUGAAAGCAGGGGAUCUUCGGACCUUGCGCGAUUGAAUGAGCCGAUGUCGGAUUAGCCAGUUGGCGGGGUAAAGGCCCACCAAGGCGACGAUCCGUAGCUGGUCUGAGAGGAUGAUCAGCCACACUGGAACUGAGACACGGUCCAGACUCCUACGGGAGGCAGCAGUGGGGAAUAUUGGACAAAGGGCGCAAGCCUGAUCCAGCCAUACCGCGUGGGUGAAGAAGGCCUUCGGGUUGUAAAGCCCUUUUGUUGGGAAAGAAAAGCAGCAGGUUAAUACCCCGCUGUUCUGACGGUACCCAAAGAAUAAGCACCGGCUAACUUCGUG
rnacentral:rRNA from 1 species